GUGCUUGCUUCGGCAGCACUUACACUAAAAUUGGAACGACACAGAAGAUUAGCAUGGCCCCUGGGCAAGGAUGACAGGCAAAUGCAUGAGGUGUUCCAUAUUUUU